AGGAGCGCUGGAGCCACGCCAUGCCUGACUUUACACAGGAUUCUGUGAAGGCGAACUCAGGUUCUCACACUUUCGUAGCAAGUCUUUUCAUCCACUGAUCUAUCUUCUCAGUUUCAUUAUGAUACUUAGCACACUACACAUGCUGAAAGUGAAUGAAAGAUGAAAUGUAAGACCAAAAUGCCUGGAGGAAAACAUCAUGAAAAACUUCUUGGCAAGGUCUUGAACCUACUUCCUGGGAUUAUCAAGUCCACUGAUUGUCAACACAGAGGCCAAAGAGGGUGACUAACGACAUAUGAGGAAUUAUAAUGAAUAUGCAGUCUAUUGAGUUAUUGAACUUUUCAUUUUGAAGUUCUGCCUGAAAAGAACUAAAAUACCAGUUCCUUUUGGGAAAAUGAGCAUUUCGUUUUAGAGAAAAAGAUCACAGACACAAAGGAAGACACUACAAGAAGUUUCUCUCAAAAUCUCCAACCACAAUGCUCCACGGUAUUGUUAAAGUAUUUUGUUGACAGUACAGUUUGUUUGAUCAAAAUGCUAUCUCCUAUAAGAUAGACUAUUUGAAUUGUCCAAAUAACCAUCUUGUAAGUCCAAGUCCUAAGAUCAAUUACAUGAGUCUAUCCU